AUGGGCUCUCUGGAGCCUUUCAACCGGCUGGUGAGGCUGACGGCGCGGGCCUUCUACGACGACAUCUCCAUCAAGGGCGACACCCAGGCCAAGACCUCCCGCGGCGACAACCGGGGCAUGGCCGUCGUCGUCCUCGACGGCCUCACCAGACGCCAGUGGGUCCGGGAGGAAGACUUGGCUAAAUCAUUAAAGCUCCACUCAAAACAACUUCGCCGUGUCCUCCGAUUCUUUGAAGAAGAGAAGCUAGUGACAAGGGAUCACAGAAAGGAGUCAGCAAAAGGUGCAAAAAUAUAUAGUGCUGCAGCAGCAGCUGCAGGUGAUGGUCAACCCACGAAGGAGGGAGAGGAAAAAGUAAAGCUGCACACACAUUCCUACUGUUGCUUGGACUAUGCACAGAUCUGUGAUGUUGUACGGUACCGGAUACACCGCAUGAAAAAAACGUUGAAGGAUGAAUUGGACAGCAGAAAUACAGUUCAACACUAUAUAUGUCCUAACUGUAAAAAGAGGUACUCGGCCUUCGAUGCGUUGCAACUUAUAAGCUACACGGACGAGUAUUUCCAUUGUGAAAAUUGCAACGGCGAACUACUUGCAGAGAGUGACAAGCUUUCUUCUGAGGAAAUGGGAGAUGGUGAUGAUAAUGCACGGAAGCGUCGGCGUGAGAAACUGAAUGAUAUGCAGCAAAGAAUUGAUGAGCAAUUGAAGCCAUUGCAAGCACAACUUAAGAGGGUGAAGGAUCUGCCUGCUCCUGAGUUUGGGAGUCUACAAUCAUGGGAAAGACUAAAUCUCGGUGCUUUCGCGCAUGGUGAUUCUGCUGCAGCUGAGGCAGCUAGGAAUGCACAAGGGCAGUACAAUGGUACACCGAUGCCUUAUCUUGGAGAUACAAAGGUUGAUGUUGAGUUGGCUGGUUCGGGUGUAAAAGCAGAAGGUGAUGAAUCUGGCAGAGAUGGUUCAGCAUUGAAAGUCUUACCUCCAUGGAUGGUCAGAGAAGGGAUGAAUCUUACAAAAGAACAAAGAGGAGAGUCCAGUAACACAUCAAAAGGAGAUGAAAAAUCAGAAGUCAAAGAUGAGAAAAAACAGGACUCAAAAGAAGAUGAGAAGAGUUUACAGGAUGAAUACCUUAAGGCAUAUUAUGAGGCCCUCAAGAAAAGACAGGAGGAGGAAGAUGCAAAGAGACUGCAGCAGGAAGGCCAGGCAUUUUCUUCUGAAAUUCAUUCUGAGCGGCAGGUGGGCAUGAAAGCCAAACGUGAGGAUGAGAAUGGUGAGGAUGAGGGUGUUGAAUGGGAAGAGGAGCAACCUGCAGGGAAUACAUCGGAGGAGCCAUAUAAGUUUGUGGAUUUGAAUGCCGAGGCCCCAGAAUCUGGCGACGACGAGGAAGAUGAGAUUGACUGGGAAGAAGGUUAA
rnacentral:rRNA from 1 species